rnacentral:rRNA from 1 species
UACGUAGGGUGCAAGCGUUAAUCGGAAUUACUGGGCGUAAAGCGUGCGCAGGCGGUUAUGUAAGACAGGUGUGAAAUCCCCGGGCUUAACCUGGGAACUGCAUUUGUGACUGCAUAGCUAGAGAACGGUAGAGGGGGAUGGAAUUCCGCGUGUAGCAGUGAAAUGCGUAGAUAUGCGGAGGAACACCGAUGGCGAAGGCAAUCCCCUGGACCUGUACUGACGCUCAUGCACGAAAGCGUGGGGAGCAAACAGG